rnacentral:misc_RNA from 1 species
AUUCCAUAGCAACAAGUAUUCCAAAGGAUCUUCCAUCUCAUUUCAAGCAGACCAAAACAUCUCUCGAUCACAUUCCUAGUAGCUGGAUGUUUCAUGUUAAAAAAUUCUUCAUGGCUUGCAGGAUGUCGACCAUCUCUCCACUCAUUGAGGUGAUACCGUUGCCCUCUAUAAGGAGGGCGAAAUCCUUCGCAAUUGGUAUAACCAGCAUCAACAAGAUAAUAAUAACCUAAAUAAGAUCAAAAAAUGCUUAGUAACUUUUUAUUUUUUAUAUUAGCAUUACUCAAUCAUAAUUCGCCUCGCCACAAGGUACUUUUAAUGAAUGUCUUCUGUUAAGAGCAUCUCUAAGUAUUCUCCCAUCAGCAACUGAACCUUCCCAUCCCCGUAAAACAUAAAUAAAUUGCAUAUCUCUUGAGCACACUCCUAAAACAUUUGUUGCUAAUUCUCCUUUUCUUGUUCGAUAUCUUAAUUUAGCAUUUUUUGGUAUUUUGACCUUCAUAUAUGUUCCAUCUAAUGCUCCUAAACAAUUCUAACAAUUACAACAACUCAAAAGUUAAAUAUAUAGUGCAUAUAAUGCAAUUUUUUUCAAAUCAAUAAUAUAUUAUGUGUUUUGAUAAAAGUACCUUAAACCAUUUCCACCUAUCAUCUGUACAGUUUUUAGGAAUUGGAUCAGGAGUCUUAAAUAAAACUUCAUGUAAACGUAACACCGCCCUUAACACUUUGUGGAAAUGCCUAUUGAUGGUUUCUUGGGAUCGCUUCAAUCUAUGU